UCUCUUCCGAUCUCAUCAUUUAAGAUUUAAACUAAGCAGGGGUGCAGCUGGAGCACCCCCACACACCCAGCAGUAGUCCCACAGGCUGUGACCUGAAACCUUCACACCUACUCUAGCAAGCCACCCCAAGCUG